CUGAAUAGUCGGAGUACAGAUUGGUGGGAAAGGGGCUUGGAGGGAGGAGAAGCGAGGGCUGAGAGGUGGCGUAGUGCCGGGGGAGGCGGGGAGACUUAGGACAGAAGACUGAAGGGGAAAGGAAUCCUCUAAGUCUUAGAGACCCCGGGCCCGUCACUAUUGGUCACUUAGACGGGCCUCCCGCAGUUGCAACCCCAGUUGUCCGCAGGGUGAGGAGAUGGCUUCUCCCUCUAGACAGGCCCCCCUUGGCGGGUCAGGACUGCUUCAAGGGAGCCGGGCUCGUUCUUAUGGAAGCCUGGUGCAGUCUGCCUGCUCCCCGGUGAGGGAAAGACGCCUGGAGCAUCAGUUGACGCCCGGAGACACCCUGGCUGGACUAGCACUCAAAUACGGGGUGACGAUGGAACAGAUUAAGCGUGCAAACCGCCUUUAUACUAAUGACUCGAUCUUCCUGAAGAAAACCCUCUACAUCCCCAUCCUGACAGAACCCAGAGACCUGUUCAAUGGUUUGGAUUCUGAGGAAGAGAAGGAUGGAGAGGAAGAGGUACAGCCAAGUAAGGAUGAAGUUGGGCCACACUCAGCUGAGAAGAAGAAACAAGAGACGGGUUCGGGACAUGCCAAUGGUGAAGUCCUUCCCACCCCUGGCCAGGAGCCCCCCAUUCACGACCUCUCUGCCUCUGAUUUCCUUAAGAAGCUUGAUUCACAGAUCAGCUUGUCAAAGAAGGCUGCUGCCCAGAAGCUGAAAAAGGGGGAAAGUGGGAUACCUGGGGAGGAUUCAGGUCUUCACCUGAGCUCUCCUCGGAUGCAGCAACGAGCAGUCCUAGGUCCCGUGCCGCUGACCCAGACCUCUCGGACCCAGACACUUCGGGACGAGGAGGAUGAAAUCUUCAAACUCUGAUGUCUCCAGAACUGAUUGAGAGAAGCCAGAUGUUGAAGGAGCAACUUGAGGGCGAGAGGAGCCUGAGGAAAUCAUGAUCUCUAAAACCAGAGGAACAGUAAUAGCUUUGGCUGGAGGAAUGAGGGCGCACCAGACGCUAGCGCACCACAAGUUAAGACCUCAGGGGAAGUAGGCUGUUGCUACUACAGUGGAGAAGAUAAAGCUUACCUGGCAGAUGGUUCUCACAGCUGCCAUUUUUGGACACUGACUGGGUACCGUAUAUCUAUGAGGUGUAGGUAUUACCAUCCUUGUUUUACAGCUGAGCAAACUGAGGCUUACGUUAAAUAAUUUACCCAAGGUCAAACACAACUGUUUUUCUGACUCCAAAAGCCCAUGUCAGCUAGUGUGCUGUACUGCCUUUAAAGACGUGAGAAAUAUAGGGGUCCUGGGAGCCCUGAUAAAAAUAAUAAUGAACAUUUAUUGAGAACCUACUAUGUGCCAAGUGCUUUAUCUCAGUCUUCCCAACCCUUUGUAAGAUAGGUAUCCCCAAUUUGCAACGAGAAAACUGAAACUAAGAAAAAUUAAGCAACUUGGCUAAAGUCACUAGCAAAUGAUAAAAGCGGGCUUUGAACCAUAUAAUCCAAAGAAGCCUCUUUCCCUUGGAAUGCUCUCAAUGAGGCUGAAGCACACAGAGGAAUCGUGAGAAACAAGCACCUCAGGACAGUCCUAGGGGUCUCAGGUCCUCUGCUGGGACUGUGCUGAGGACCUCCUGGUGGCACAUCAGCUGCAAGUAUCCGGGACGCUCUCCCCAUGGUCUUCGCCUGUGGUGGUUCUGCUUGUUUUGCUUCUUACUUCCCCCUCCCCUGCUCUGCAGGAUGUGGCUCUGACCGCAGUGAGGAGCAGCCUUGCCCUCUCCCCCAAACAAAAUAGGAGUCUGAAGAAGCAGGGGAGGUGCAUAACUGGGAGGAGAGGUGGUUCUCCCCCAGCUGAAUCGGUCCAGUGGGAAUCUGGAACCUUGCUCUGCUCCCGGCUUUGCCUGGGGCUUUCUGGACCACGCUCUACAUCCGGAAGAGGAGAUUGCCCCAUGUGAGCCUUCCUUCCUCCUUGGCCUUCCUGCUACCCAGCUCUCCACUGCCCCCAUUGCCAUCUCACGUUUUGUCCACUGUCCUCUCCCCCUCUCCGUGUUUCAGUCUCCUGUUUUCUCUUGUCUGAGUCCUGCCCUGUGGCCCUCUGGCCACGCUCUCCUGCUGGCCCCUACGUCUACCUCCAUGUCUCCUAAGAUUUCCUUGCAUCUCUCAGUAGUCUGUCACAUACCCUUAUCCACCGCCAUCCCUCAGCCCUUCCCCCACCCAAACCAAACCAUGUCUUUCUGAGGCUGCCUGGCCCCAGGAAGAACUGAGCUGGACCUCUCCACUGGGGGCUCAAGAAUUCUAUCAAAUGAGAGUCUCACAAUAUGGAAAGCUCAGGCUGACAGAGCUAGGACUCUUCUGCCACCAUCACCCCUAAAGCCUACCCUCUGUCAUUGCCUGGUCCCUCACCUGCUGCGCCCUGGGUGCCAGUCUUGCCUUGGAUGUUCCGGGAGAGCUGACAGAAUGGAGAAGCUCCUAAGUGAGAGGCCCUUUGGCCUGGCCCCACCCCGAAGCCCCGCCUACCUACUCUGUGCUCAACCUCCCGUUCAUCACACGGUCACCAAGAAGGUCUAUGACCCCGACAGCCUCCUUCCUAGAAAUAAAAGGUCAAAAGGAAUAGCACUCUGUAGGAAAUAGUCUUGAUUCUUUGAGGUGAGGAAGAGGAAUUGUACAACUCCUGCUCCCAAGCUGUCUGCCUCUUUCUAUCCUUGCUGCCCAGUUCCUUGAGAUCUUGUUCUCCUUAUAUGUCUGUGGUAAUGGGGAAAAUGUUAAGUACAGACUGCUGGGGUGGGGGGGUCCGUGGGGAAAGUUCUGAAGAUUGAACUGAACUUAGACUGGAGACACCAGAGGCAAGUUAGAGAUCAGGAGGUUGGAGUGUGUCCCUGGAGUCUCCAGGGAUGGGUGGCGCUGUGGGGCGACAUUACCAUGAGCAUACGCUUUCAGUGUCUGGCUGGGUAAGGGGUUCCCCACCCUUAGUACUUAAGAGAGACGAAGGUGCAGGGGUCAGGGCUGCCGAACUAGAUAUGACCAGCAGGUGUCAGCACAUCAUUGAACCACUAGAGGCA